GACGAACGCUGGCGGCGUGCCUAAUACAUGCAAGUAGAACGCUGAAGAGAGGAGCUUGCUCUUCUUGGAUGAGUUGCGAACGGGUGAGUAACGCGUAGGUAACCUGCCUUGUAGCGGGGGAUAACUAUUGGAAACGAUAGCUAAUACCGCAUAACAAUGGAUGACACAUGUCAUUUAUUUGAAAGGGGCAAUUGCUCCACUACAAGAUGGACCUGCGUUGUAUUAGCUAGUAGGUGAGGUAAUGGCUCACCUAGGCGACGAUACAUAGCCGACCUGAGAGGGUGAUCGGCCACACUGGGACGGAGACACGGCCCAGACUCCUACGGGAGGCAGCAGUAGGGAAGCUUCGGCAAUGGGGGCAACCCUGACCGAGCAACGCCGCGUGAGUGAAGAAGGUUUUCGGAUCGUAAAGCUCUGUUGUAAGUCAAGAACGGGUGUGAGAGUGGAAAGUUCACACUGUGACGGUAGCUUACCAGAAAGGGACGGCUAACUACGUG
rnacentral:rRNA from 1 species